rnacentral:rRNA from 1 species
UACAGAGGGGGCGAGCGUUGUUCGGAAUUACUGGGCGUAAAGGGCUCGUAGGCGGCCCGCUAAGUCGAACGUGAAAUCCCCAGGCUCAACCUGGGAACUGCGUCCGAUACUGGCAGGCUUGAAUCCGGGAGAGGGAUGUGGAAUUCCAGGUGUAGCGGUGAAAUGCGUAGAUAUCUGGAGGAACACCGGUGGCGAAGGCGGCAUCCUGGACCGGUAUUGACGCUGAGGCGCGAAAGCUAGGGGAGCAAACGGG